UACGUAGGGUCCAAGCGUUGUCCGGAUUUAUUGGGCGUAAAGAGCUCGUAGGCGGUUUCGUAAGUCGGAUGUGAAAACUCAGGCUCACCCGGAGACGCCAUCCGAUACUGCGAUGACUUGAGUCUGGUAGGGGAACACGGAAUUCCUGGUGUAGCGGUGAAAAUGCGCAGAUAUCAGGAAGAACACCCGUGGCGAAGGCGGUUCUCUGGAACGCAACUGACGCUGAGACGCGAAGCGUGGGAGCAAACAGG
rnacentral:rRNA from 1 species